GAUGAACGCUGGCUACAGGCUUAACACAUGCAAGUCGAGGGGAAACGACGGGGAAGCUUGCUUCCCCGGGCGUCGACCGGCGCACGGGUGAGUAACGCGUAUCCAACCUGCCUCUGACUGAGGGAUAACCCGUCGAAAGUCGGCCUAAUACCUCAUGGCAUCGUCUGCGGGCAUCCAACGACGAUUAAAGAUUUCAUCGGUCAGAGAUGGGGAUGCGUCUGAUUAGCUUGUUGGCGGGGUAACGGCCCACCAAGGCGACGAUCAGUAGGGGUUCUGAGAGGAAGGUCCCCCACAUUGGAACUGAGACACGGUCCAAACUCCUACGGGAGGCAGCAGUGAGGAAUAUUGGUCAAUGGGCGAGAGCCUGAACCAGCCAAGUAGCGUGCAGGAGGACGGCCCUAUGGGUUGUAAACUGCUUUUAGGCGGGGAUAAAGUGAGGGACGUGUCCUUCAUUGCAGGUACCGCAUGAAUAAGAACCGGCUAAUUCCGUG
rnacentral:rRNA from 1 species